GAGAUACCCCUAUGGAGCAGGAUUUGCUUUAGUGGGGCUUUGGUGCUCACUGAGUCUGUGCCUUGAAUGUGUCACU
rfam:Myotis lucifugus cont2.12549, whole genome shotgun sequence.